CCGCGUCCCCAAGUCAGGCGUGAACACCCGCUGAGUUUAA
rnacentral:rRNA from 3 species